rnacentral:pre_miRNA from 1 species
GACGUACUCCCUCCGUUCGGAAAUACUUGUCGUUGAAAUGGAUGUAUCAAGAUGUAUUUUAGUUCUAGAUACAUCCAUUUUAAUGACAAGUAAUUCCGAACGGAGGGAGUAGCUG